rnacentral:misc_RNA from 1 species
CGAUGAGAUUGAGGGGAUUGGUAGAGUCUGCAGGAGGAGGCGGGGGGGUCUGCUUGGAGAAGAAGGAGAAGAGGAAGUUCUGGAUAGCUCUAUCAAGAGAAGAGAUUGAGGAGGAUAUUUUCGCUUUGACUGGGUCGAGACCUGCUAGGAGGCCCAUGAAACGACCCAAGAACGUGCAGAAAGUGCUUGAUAAUUUUUUUCCUGGGUCGUGGUUGGUGGGAACUACAGCUGAUUCUUAUAGAGUUGCCGAUCCUCCGAUGAAGAGGUAAAUACUACUAAGGAUCAUCAGAUAUUUGAGGUUUCUGGAACGUUUGAAGUGCUACUCUUCCUCAAUUUGAGGUAUUAUAAGGGAGUCUGUAAAAAUACAGAGGUUGUAAUCCAAAUAGAAGGAAGAAAUGUGAGAAAUUGAUAUCAAAAUUCUCAGGUUAUCAUUUCGUGUUGCUCUUUGGGAUAUGAUGAAGGGACCUAGUUUAGUCUAUUUUUUCCUUUUCUGUGGUAAUUUUAAGAUGUAAAACAUUGAACAAAGACAGAUGAAUAGAGAAUUUAAUUGCCUUUCAUCAUAUCCCAAAGAGCAACACGAAAUGAUAACCUGAGAAUUUUGAUAUCAAUUUCUCACAUUUCUUCCUUCUAUUUGGAUUACAACCUCUGUAUUUUUACAGACUCCCUUAUAAUACCUCAAAUUGAGGAAGAGUAGCACUUCAAACGUUCCAGAAACCUCAAAUAUCUGAUGAUCCAUAGUAGUAUUUACCUC